GUCUGUCCCAUAUGUCUGUCCAUGAUGGGGCUUUGGGAAAGCUCCAAACCAGACUGCCCUGGGGAGGACGUGUGAAGUGGUGAUGGGCUUUCAGAUGCCAGGUCAAGACGGUGAGUAGCUGCGCCCAAGUGGCUGGAAAUCACAAAGGACAUCUCCUCAAAGGCACCAGCUGCUUCUGUGGGGCACCCAUGCUGCCACCCCCUUGUUCAGAGCUCGCUUUGCCCUUAGGAUCUGGAAAAUGAAGCCUUUGAAGUCCAGCCUGACCUCACACACAGCCUUUUUGGAGCCAGACUGAACCCACCACAGGCCCCCUAAGUGGAUGGCAGGAGCCCUCCCCCGUCGUAUUUAUUGUACAACAAAACUCCCAUCCAGGAGGAUUCUGCAGACCGACGGACAGAGGAGUCAGGCUCAGGAGCUGAGGAGAGGACGUGAAUAAUUUCCUUCAUAGCUGGUUUAGAAAGAGCCAGCUGCUUUCUACGCUCCUGCCAAAACCAAGAGGAGAUAGUCUGAGGUUAAGGAACGCGCGGGAUAAUUUUCAUACCAAAUGUGAAAAGGGAGAAAUUGCUUUAACAUGUAGUAACUCACCAUAAAAAUGUGAUACGUGUCCCCUUCCAGCUUUAAAAGGAGACUUUAGAAACCCUGCUCGUCUUUGAUUUGUUAAGGCAAUUUUACAUUUCUUUUUUUUUUUUUAAUUCACAAGUUUGUGAGAAAACAUAAUGAAACCCUUGAUGUUUUUAUGACCUCGAUUAGCGCUUCAUUGUAUAAGUAUUUGGUUAUUGAAACAUACACCAAAUAUUGCGCUGUAAAAUCUGUUGUGACUUACUCAAUAGCUUUUGGAAUUAAUAGGGAAAAAAAUGACAAGAUUGCAAAAAUGGUAUUAAUUUUUAUUUCAUUUCAUUUAAUAAAAAACUCACUUGACUGCACAGUCCUUUGCUUUAUUUUCUCACUUAUCGUGUAUAUAUUUGGAGAAAAAUGUCUGUUGCAUAUCAUCUCUCUAACACUAAAAAACGAUGCUGUUAUUAAUAAGUUGCUGAGAAAAAUAAACCAGUUUGCACUUUGA